GACAGAGGCCCCAAGCGUUAGGCGGAAUCACUGGGCGUAAAGCGCACGUAGGCGGACUCUUAAGUCGGUGGUGAAAUCCUGGAGCUCAACUCCAGAACUGCCUCCGAUACUGGGAGUCUUGGAGUCCGGGAGAGGUGAGUGGAACUGCGAGUGUAGAGGUGAAAUUCGUAGAUAUUCGCAAGAACACCAGUGGCGAAGGCGGGAUCCUGGGCCAGUACUGACGCUGAGGAGCGAAAGCGUGGGGAGCAAACAGG
rnacentral:rRNA from 1 species